GGAAGACCCUCUAAAUGACGUCUAAUCACUGCAUUUCCCACACGAUGGACAAGUUUUAUGUUAUCUAGUCCUGAUAUAUCAAGACCCCCAUCAGUCAACUUUUUUUCUCUAUCUUUCUCGGGCACCUCAUUAAACAUCCACAAUUCAGACCCUGGAGCCAAUAAUGCCUCCAGUACCAUAAUCAUAUCAUCAAUAUCACGUCUCCAGCCACAGAAUAAGAUUCUUUCUGGAUAUUUUGGAGGAUCAGUUAUCCUAGGGAAUAGGCCUUUAUUUACCUCUGGUAAGAGACCUGGCGCAUAGGUAUCAUCAUCCUCAGCUAUAACAAGGACUUCAUCACCUUCUUUUAGAACAUAUCUAUCAUCAGGAUUUAUGAUAAUCUUGCCCCCAUAAGCAGCAACCUUAACACCGCAAGGAAUAGCCUCCGGAAAUGAUACCAGUAC
rnacentral:misc_RNA from 1 species